rnacentral:rRNA from 1 species
CGCGGCCUAUCAGCUUGUUGGUGAGGUAACGGCUCACCAAGGCGACGACGGGUAGCCGGCCUGAGAGGGCGGCCGGCCACACUGGGACUGAGAUACGGCCCAGACUCCUACGGGAGGCAGCAGUGGGGAAUAUUGCGCAAUGGGCGAAAGCCUGACGCAGCAACGCCGCGUGCGGGAUGACGGCCUUCGGGUUGUAAACCGCUUUCAGCAGGGACGAAACUGACGGUACCUGCAGAAGAAGCACCGGCUAACUACGUGCCAGCAGCCGCGGUGAUACGUAGGGUGCGAGCGUUGUCCGGAAUUAUUGGGCGUAAAGAGCUCGUAGGCGGUCUGUCGCGUCGGAAGUGAAAACUCGGGGCUCAACCCCGAGCCUGCUUUCGAUACGGGCAGACUUGAGGAAUGUAGGGGAGAACGGAAUUCCUGGUUGAGCGGUGGAAUGCGCAGAUAUCAGGAGGAACACCAGUGGCGAAGGCGGUUCUCUGGACAUUAACUGACGCUGAGGAGCGAAAGCGUGGGGAGCAAACAGGCUUAGAUACCCUGGUAGUCCACGCCGUAAACGGUGGGCACUAGGUGUGGGGAACAUUCCACGUUCUCCGUGCCGUAGCUAACGCAUUAAGUGCCCCGCCUGGGGAGUACGG